rnacentral:misc_RNA from 1 species
CAUCCGUGUCCGAUAUCCCCCAGCUCACCUUUCCUGUGCUCUCGUGUUCUUGUGCACGCGGGCCUCUCCCUCUGUCCCUCUGUGGGUGCUGUUCGGCGUGCUUUCCUUGUAUCAGGGGACUGCUUCUUCCACUACACAGAGUAGCAUCGAAGGCGGUCAGCAACGCUGCAAAUCGUGGCAUCUCACCUCACGUGCGUUACUGAUCGUUUUUUUCUCUCUUCUAUCCUUUAUUUGGAGCAGUACGCGGGCGAAUCGCUCCCCAUACACACAGCACGAUAGACAGUCCAUGGCUAUGGUCCACACAACCUACCCCCAGUGCUUGUCGCUGGUGGAAGCGGACACCGCCGAGGUGGAGGUGCAGCAGGCACUGGAGGACGGUGCCAACACACUCUACUUUAGCCACCACUUCAAUUAUACCGAUGUCCCGCCCAGUAUCGCUGCGCUGCGCGAGCAACUGGAGGUUCUCCAUAUAGAUAACAACUACCCCUUCACAGCCAUUUCUCCCCGCGUGACGGCGUUGACGAACCUGCGUUGGCUGAACGCGAGCUACUGCUCACUCCGCAGCGUGGACUCCUCGAUCAGCCGCCUGUCAAAGCUGGAGCGGCUGACGCUGAACAACAAUUUGCUGACCUGGCUGCCGCUCGAUGUCUGGCAGCUGAAGGCGCUGGAGGAACUGCACCUGGACAACAACCAGCUCAAUGUGCUGCCCGGGGGCCUCCUCUUCCUUCCUCGCCUUCGUGUUUUGACACUGGAGAACAACCCUCUCUACACGCCCGAGGAGGUUCAUGGGGCGGCUGCAGCAACCUACAUUCCGGCGCAGCGCAGCGUGGACUGCAGCGCAUGCUGCAUCCGGUCCCGCAACUACAAGGUCUUUGUCACCUUCCACACGAUCGUGGGCCAUCGCGACGUCCCGUUUGUGCACUUUGUGUGCUCCGACGAGUGCGCCGUGCACGUGCGCACGCGCCUGGAGGCGUAUGACCGGGCCCACCUCAACCAGCAGUGAGUCGUGCGCGGUGUGCGUCGUAUGUAACUGUCGCAGGCGGGAGAGGUGGGGUCUGUGUUCGUGGUGGUGGGGGGGGGAGUGUGGCAGUGUGUUUGCAUUGCCACAUGUUUUUCUUCGGUACUCCCUCUAUCAGGAGCCGUGGAAUCUGCAUGCGGGCGUCGUUGCCCUCUCUCCCAACUCGCUCACCCCCUCACUCCUCUCCGGUGCCUUGUUGUGUGUACUCUAUCUUCUUCUUUUGCUGCUGUCGUUCGUUUUCUCGUCGUUGUUGUUCUCUCGCUUUCGAACGCCUCUGCGCCCCUCCCAUGUUCACCUCCUCCCUCUCUCCGUCUUUUUUUUCUUUGCAUGCGAGUGUGUGGGUGUGGGUGCUCUCGCUACGCCUGCCUUCCGCCGUGCAGCCGUGGCAUUGCUUCCCGCCCGUUGCGUUCCGCAGGUAUCCCCUUUCUCUGCGUUUUAUCUGGAGCGUUCGAUGUGUAGGCCUUGCUGCGGGAAUACAGGCAUAUGUUUCCUUUUUGUGUGUGUAUAGUUCUGCCACUAGUCGGAUGGCGGUGCCAUGGGCGAUGUGGCGAGUUACGCGUGUGUAUGCUUGUGUAGGCGGCAGAGGCGCCCCUCGAUGUUUAUCUAUCUCACGCUUCUCCAUCCUCUCUCUUCUCCGAAGCGUUUCGCAUACGUUUUUCCGUUUCACCUUUCUACCUGUUCCUUAUUUUCUUCUUUCGUUCCCACUGGCACUGAGACGCGCCCCGCCCUCCCUCUCACACCCCCUGUCCCCUCUCCUCGUGCGCGUGUGUCCCUUCCCCUUCCUCGUGUUCCUCUUCUCCCUUCCCUCACUGCCGCAAGCCGACGCCUGUUCUCGUGUACUCUUUUCUGUUUUCUCUCUCUCCUGUGCGCCGUCUUCUCCGUCUUGCACGCGCGUGCCGUCCCUCGUUGCCUCUGGCCCCUCUCGUCCUUUGGGGGAGAGGGAGGGGAAGAAGAGGGGGGCAGGACCACACAAUUUGUAUCGGCCGUCCACCUCCCCACCCCCAACCGCCACCACCUUCGACAUGAGCGGAGGAGAUCACACCGACAGCGAGACGGACGCAGGGACAGAGGCAGUAUUCUCGGAACCGCGCGACUCGUAGAGGCGCAAUGUAUUUCGCGAAGCCUCAGAGAACAUAGAAAGAAGAUGGCAGAAGGCGGGACAGACACGGACGACGACCGAGAGCCUGGAUGAGGAGGCACGGCUGCACUCACACAGAGAGAGAGAGUCGGAAAGAAGAAGAGAGGGCGGGGGAGGGGGGCAUAUGUAUGAUGCCGGGUGUGGGCCAGAUCCAUGUAAAGCAUCGCCCAAUGCACAUCCAUCGGCCUGUCCCUUGGGCAGGCCGAUGGAUCGCCUCCCUCCUCCCUUUCCUUAAACUGUUGUAUCUCUUUCUUUCCUCAGGCUCCUUUUUCUUGUGGUUGUUUGUGGUGACGCGCCACUUCAGGUGACGCGACCGCCUCUUUUCUGUGCAGUGGUGCCUCCAUGAAGCAGUUGCAGCACUGUCCACUCGGCCGCCUCUUCCCCCUCCACACACACCCACACCGCGGAGAACGCACGUACGCGAGGACAGUGGUAGGGGGUGAUGCCCCCAAAAACGGAGCGCACG